GGCCUUGUAGCUCAGAGGUUAGAGCACUGGUCUAGUAAACCAGUGGAUAUGAGGACCAGUGCUCAUGAGUUCAAAUCUCAUCAAGGCCU